rnacentral:rRNA from 1 species
CCUACGGGAGGCAGCAGUGAGGAAUAUUGGUCAAUGGGCUUACGCCUGAACCAGCCAAGUCGCGUGAGGGAAGACUGCCCUAUGGGUUGUAAACCUCUUUUGUCAGGGAGCAACGCCGGCUACGUGUAGCCGGACUGAGAGUACCUGAAGAAAAAGCAUCGGCUAACCCCGUGCCAGCAGCCGCGGUAAUACGGAGGAUGCGAGCUUUAUCCGGAUUGAUGGGGUUUAAAGGGUGCGUAGGCGGAAUGCCAAGUCAGCGGUAAAGUCGCGGGGCCCAACCGCGCUCCGCCGUUGAAACUGGCGUUCUUGAGUGGGCGAGAAGUAUGCGGAAUGCGCGGUGUAGCGGUGAAAUGCAUAGAUAUCACGAAGAACUCCGAUUGCGAAGGCAGCAUACCGGCGCCCAACUGACGCUGAAGCACGAAAGCGUGGGUAUCGAACAGGAUUAGAUACCCUAGUAGUC